rnacentral:rRNA from 1 species
AGUAACACGUGGGUAACCUGCCUUAUAGUGGGGGAUAGCCGUUUCGAAAGGAAGAUUAAUACCGCAUAAGAUUGUAGUAUCGCAUGAUAUAGCAAUUAAAGGAGCAAUUCGCUAUAAGAUGGACCCGCGUCGCAUUAGCUAGUUGGUGGGGUAAUGGCUCACCAAGGCGACGAUGCGUAGCCGACCUGAGAGGGUGAUCGGCCACAUUGGGACUGAGACACGGCCCAGACUCCUACGGGAGGCAGCAUG